UGGGUUUACUAAGAGAUGUGGAGGAAGAAACCCAGAGGGGAGACAGUCAGUGGGAUGAGAGCCAUGAGAGACAGAGGAAGAAAAAUAGACGUGUGGGGGUUUAAGAUGGGGUGUGUGUGUGUGUGUGUGGGGGGGGGGGGGGUCUGAGGCAGAUGAGAUUGGGAUCUCGGGCAGAAAGCAGAGAUUAUGAAGAACUAAUAAUGAAACAGUGCAGGGGCAAGGAGGGAGUGUUGGCGGUUUAGGAAAACAAGAGAGGCAGAGAGAACGAGCGAGGGAGAGAUAGUGGGAAAAGGGAACGGAAAUGUAACGUGAGAGACAGGAAAAGGGAUGCAUGGCUCUGAUUUGCGAGAUGAGAUGGAGGGAGUGGGAACGACGGAGGAGGAAAUUCCAAAGAGAUGUUUAAAAACCCCGCAAAUGAAGUCACCUGUGCAAAUACAACUCUUGUAUUUACUCCUAGUGUAUAAUAAUUGUGUGACAGCCCAAGGGUCAGGCCUCGGAUGGAAAGGCUCGCUGCCAGGAAAACAAACAUAUACACUACAGACAAGACCACGCGGAUGUCCUCAGAACCUCCCAAUGACGAUCGCAUGUGACAGCGACAGAGCAACACAAAGCAAGUCUACGCGAGUCGCAACACAACCCCCACAUAUCUCUUCCAUUCCGUGAAUUCAUCCAUACACGGUGAUGGCCUUGCUCAUGUGUGUGUUUGGGAUGAACACUCCUUCCGGAGGUCUCUGAAACGGGCUGGACUGUAUACAGAUGUCAAGUGACAGCACCUCCUCCCCUUGGAGGUUCUUCAUCAGGUAACACUAGAAGCUCAACAAACAGAUUUACUGUAUUUCACUGAAAUAUAAACGAAGCGCCUUGAGACAUUACCUUCACUGAGAGCGGAUAUUGAAAUGGUGAAUGAGAGAGACCUCAGGAUCGCCCUCUCUGCUGAAGACUGUAUACUCCAGCACAUUGGUUUAGAGGUAAGCGUGAGACAUGAGCAUUGUCCUCUGGCACUUUACGUUUUGAAGAGUGUAUGUUCAAAUCUUUUUUUUUUUUUUUUUUUUUAGAUGGCAAAACUGUCAACACAUUGAAAAUCUGAUAAGAGUUCGAGUCAACCUUGUCUGUCAGGCCAUGCAUGUUGACAGGAGCACAAAACCAGAAGUCCUUCACUGACUGGAGGGACUACACAUUUCAGUGCUUCUCAAAAGACAACCCGAACCAAUGGUAUAACUGCAUUUUUUAGAUACAACUGAACAGCAGAAUAAAAGAUGAAGGUGACUCA
rnacentral:lncRNA from 1 species